UGGGGAAUAUUGGACAAUGGGGGCAACCCUGAUCCAGCAAUGCCGCGUGUGUGAAGAAGGUCUUCGGAUUGUAAAGCACUUUCGACGGGGACGAUGAUGACGGUACCCGUAGAAGAAGCCCCGGCUAACUUCGUGCCAGCAGCCGCGGUAAUACGAAGGGGGCCUAGCGUUGCUCGGAAUGACUGGGCGUAAAGGGCGUGUAGGCGGUUUACACAGUCAGAUGUGAAAUCCCCGGGC
rnacentral:rRNA from 1 species